CCUACGGGGGGCUGCAGUGGGGAAUAUUGGACAAUGGGCGAAAGCCUGAUCCAGCCAUGCCGCGUGAGUGAUGAAGGCCUUAGGGUUGUAAAGCUCUUUUGUCGGGGACGAUAAUGACGGUACCCGAAGAAUAAGCUCCGGCUAACUUCGUGCCAGCAGCCGCGGUAAUACGAAGGGAGCUAGCGUUGUUCGGAAUCACUGGGCGUAAAGCGCACGUAGGCGGAUUUGUUAGUCAGGGGUGAAAUCCCGGGGCUCAACCUCGGAACUGCCUUUGAUACUGCAAAUCUAGAGUCCGAUAGAGGUGGGUGGAAUUCCUAGUGUAGAGGUGAAAUUCGUAGAUAUUAGGAAGAACACCGGUGGCGAAGGCGGCCCACUGGAUCGGUACUGACGCUGAGGUGCGAAAGCGUGGGGAGCAAACAGGAUUAGAUACCCUAGUAGUC
rnacentral:rRNA from 1 species